rnacentral:rRNA from 1 species
AUGCUUUACACAUGCAAGUCGAACGGCAGCGCGAGAGAGCUUGCUCUCUUGGCGGCGAGUGACGGACGGGUGAGUAAUAUAUCGGAACGUGCCCAGUAGCGGGGGAUAACUACUCGAAAGAGUGGCUAAUACCGCAUACGCCCUACGGGGGAAAGGGGGGGAUCGCAAGACCUCUCACUAUUGGAGCGGCCGAUAUCGGAUUAGCUAGUUGGUGGGGUAAAGGCUCACCAAGGCAACGAUCCGUAGCUGGUUUGAGAGGACGACCAGCCACACUUGGGACUGAGACACGGCCCAGAGACCUCCGGGAGGCGGCAGUGGGGAAUUUUUGACAAUGGGGGAAACACUGAUCCAGCCAUCCCGCGUGUAUGAUGAAGGCCUUCGGGUUGUAAGGUACUUUUGGCAGAGAAGAAAAGGUAUCUCCUAAUACAAGAUACUGCUGACAGUAUCUGCAGAAUAAGCACCGGCUAACUACGUGCCAGCGGCCGCGGUAAUACGUAGGGUGCAAGCGUUAAUCAGAAUUACUGGGCGUAAAGCGCGUGUAGGCGGUUCGGAAAGAAAGAUGUGAAAUCCCAGGGCUCAACCUUGGAACUGCAUUUUUUACUGCCGAGCGCUAGAGUAUGUCAGAGGGGGAGAGAAUUCCGCGUGUAGCAGAAAAAUGCGUAGAUAUGUGGAAAUAUAGAGGGCGCAGGCAGCCCCCUGGGGGAUAAUAGUCACGCUCAGACACGAAAGUGUGGGGAGCAAA